UACGUAGGUGGCGAGCGUUAUCCGGAUUUAUUGGGCGUAAAGCGUGCGCAGGCGGCUUGCUAAGUCUAAGAUUAAAGCCCAGAGCUUAACUCUGGUUCGUCUUAGAAACUGACAGGCUUGAGUAUGGUAGAGGCAAAUGGAAUUCCUAGUGUAGCGGUGGAAUGCGUAGAUAUUAGGAGGAACACCAGUGGCGAAGGCGAUUUGCUGGGCCAUCACUGACGCUCAUGCACGAAAGCGUGGGGAGCAAA
rnacentral:rRNA from 1 species